rnacentral:sRNA from 24 species
GUCAGCAACCCAAUCCCCUCAAAGGGAGAGGCUUGCGUAUUGUUGGGAGCGUUAUCCCAGGCUGUUGCAAGCGUUCCUGCUGACUAGUCUCAGCCAGGGCCUCUUCUGAGGCUAUCGGGCUACGUUCGGAAAGUCAUGCUACCUACAAAUGCCUACUCUAGUUUGUAGCUCUAGC